rnacentral:rRNA from 1 species
UACGGAGGGUGCGAGCGUUGUCCGGAAUCACUGGGCGUAAAGUGUGCGCAGGCGGCCGAGCAAGUCGAGUGUGAAAGCCCCGAGCUUAACUUGGGAACUGCGCUCGAAACUACUUGGCUAGAGUGUGGCAGAGGGAGGUGGAAUUCCACGUGUAGCGGUGAAAUGCGUAGAGAUGUGGAGGAACACCGAUGGCGAAGGCAGCCUCCUGGGCCAACACUGACGCUCAUGCACGAAAGCGUGGGGAGCAAACAGG